rnacentral:rRNA from 1 species
CCUACGGGAGGCUGCAGUGGGGAAUAUUGGGCAAUGGGCGCAAGCCUGACCCAGCAACGCCGCGUGAAGGAAGAAGGCUUUCGGGUUGUAAACCUCUUUUCUCAGGGACGAAGCAAGCGACGGUACCUGAGGAAUAAGCCACGGCUAACUACGCGCCAGCAGCCGCGGUAAUACGUAGGUGGCAAGCGUUAUCCGGAUUUACUGGGUGUAAGGGGCGUGUAGGCGGGACUGCAAGUCAGAUGUGAAACCCCCGGGCUCAACCUGUGGCCUGCAUUUGAAACUGUAGUUCUUGAGUACUGGAGAGGCAGACGGAAUUCCUAGUGUAGCGGUGAAAUGCGUAGAUAUUAGGAGGAACACCAGUGGCGAAGGCGGUCUGCUGGACAGCAACUGACGCUGAGGCGCGAAAGCGUGGGGAGCAAACAGGAUUAGAUACCCUAGUAGUC